rnacentral:lncRNA from 1 species
GUUAUAUAUAGAAUUUAUAAGAAUCCAAAAAUAGUUAAUUCCACUACGCGAUUGAAUGAUUUUGACGUUUGUGGUUCAACGUAUAUUGUAAUUCAUAAUAGAAAUAUAUCAUAAUGACAUAUAAUAGAACAAUAUCAUACUGACGGGAUCUUUUAAAGUACAGAGUCACGUUAUAAGAACAAAAGAAAUACAAAAGUCGCAAAUACAAAACAAACCACAAAAAAAUGAAAGCCAAUACAAACACAUUGACGAGAUGUAUAAGUACCGAGCCACGUGAAACGGAUAUCACAUGAAACCAUUCAACAGUAAAAGUAAUAUUAAUAAUAGAACAAAGA